rnacentral:lncRNA from 1 species
CAAGACUUCCUGGUCAUUAUAUCUGUUUCACACUCUGAACUGCCUUCCAGUUAUUGUGAGGGCUGGGUACAACUGCCCUUGGCUGCCAUAAUAUUUUAGUAUUUCUUUGUGAGUAUUCUUAUCUCAAGUCUCCACUAAUUAAGAUGAAUUGGGAGAGUCUUUUUUUUUUUUUUUUCUUCUUCUUGUAACUGAGAGUCUGACAAAUGUAUGUUAGGAUGUUAGAGUGACUUUUUGGUUGUCUCACCAGAUGGUAUGACAGGUGACAAAUGCCCCCACUUCCCCACUCAUGAAAUGUUGGACCCCCCCUAGGAAGGACAUGGCUGAGAGACAGUGAGCUGGUAUUGCCAGCAUUCACCCCUCAGAUGCUCUAGGAGAGGGUGAAGAGGGUGAAGAAUCAUCGUGAGUGUGGGCAAUGAGAAUUCUUGGGGAGAGUUGUCAGUGUGCCUUGCUUGGGGAGGAGAGAGAGCUUCCAUGGGGCUGUAAACCAAAUGAAGCUUCAGAGAUCCAGGUGAAGGGACUGGUACAUGUCUUUUUCUUGCCAGAGCCAGCACAGUAAGGCAAGAAGAUGAAGAUAGAAGAAAUGUACUUCCGGUGGUGGAGGAGCUUAAGGUGUGAACAGGCCUGGAAGCAUUCUGUGGCUCUGAAAUGUAAUCGGGAGAGGGAAGUGGUGAGAAGGGAAGGAGAAGGAGAGAAGGAGACAGAUAUGGAGAGAGACGGCAGAGAGCCACGUAAUGAUGGAAGGACCUAAAGGUAAAAGGAACAUGGGAUGGAAGCAGACAGACAUACUAAGUAAAAUUUGCCCUGCUAAAAAGUCAGAUCGUCUUGGUCCCGUCUUGCUCCUCCUCCUUCCCAGACCAGGUGCCAUUUCCUAAGCACACUGGACGCUCUCACAAGCUGGCACUUUUGAUGAUGUAUCUUUCUGCCCAGGACACCAUUCCCUUCACUUUCUUGACAUUUCCAACUGCCAGAAACCCAGGAACUGGUUCUGGUAGCUUUCUCCAAAACCCACAGAUAGGAUGAGUGCUUCUCUCUUCUGAACACCCACAUCUCUUUGGAAAUACCCCUGUCGUGGCCGUUAUUCCAAUCUGCCUGAUGAGAAGCAGGUGUCUGUCCCAGUAGACGGUGAGCUCUUUGCCGGUGGGCGGGCAAGCGUCUUAAUCACUUUGUGCUCUUUCCAGCUAGGCACAGCCCCUGAAGAGUCCAGCAGCAAAGACUGAGAUGCCUUUUGCCAGUUGUCGUGUUUUACAGCUUCCCUUCCUUUGCUAAGACAUUACCACUAGAGCCCGACGGGCAUGGGUUAGGCGUUUCCAUCCCACGAGAAACCAGACAGGGCAUGGUUGUAGAUUAAUUUUAUAUCUCAUAUAGGGCUUAUAUUACAUCAUGAUAAUAUUUUCAGCCUUGUUACUUUGAAGUGCCUCUGGCACAGACUAGAAGACGCCCACUUGUCAAGUCCAAAGGAGGUAGGAAAAUUUGUGCCUGGAUACUGUCAGUGGUGUGGUAGGGAGGCGGCUCACCUGAAGAGACAGGUGCAUCACAGGUGGUUGUCACCAUGCUUGACUGUGGAUACAGC